rnacentral:rRNA from 1 species
UACAGAGGUCCCAAGCGUUGUUCGGAUUCACUGGGCGUAAAGGGUGCGUAGGUGGUGGGGUAAGUCGGAUGUGAAAUCUCCGAGCUCAACUCGGAAACUGCAUUGGAAACUACCCUGCUAGAGGGUCGGAGGGGGGACUGGAAUACUUGGUGUGGCAGUGAAAUGCGUAGAUAUCAAGUGGAACACCAGUGGCGAAGGCGAGUCCCUGGACGACUCCUGACACUGAGGCACGAAAGCUAGGGGAGCAAACAGG